rnacentral:rRNA from 1 species
CCCUUAGAUGUUCUGGGCUGCACGCGCGCUACACUGAAGGAGGCAGCGUGUACUCCUGGAUCGAAAGAUUUGGGUAACCCGCGAAUCUCCUUCGUGCUAGGGAUUGAGGUUUGCAAUUAUCCUUCAUGAACGAGGAAUUCCCAGUAAGUGCAAGUCAUAAGCUUGCGCUGACUACGUCCCUGCCCUUUGUACACACCGCCCGUCGCUACUACCGAUUGAAUGAUUUAGUGAGGACUUCGGACUGGGACCGAUGCGGCUUUCGGGCUGCGUCGGUAUUCUGGAAAGAUGUCCAAACUGUAUCAUUUAGAGGAAGUAAAANUCGUANCA